rfam:Zea mays cultivar B73 chromosome 4, whole genome shotgun sequence.
GAUCAAGUGAUGAGCAAUUAAAUGCUCCAAUGCUAUGAUUGGAGUUAUUCUCCUAUGAUUCCCAAGUUUGAAGUCUGAUGAUC